rnacentral:rRNA from 1 species
GGGGGGCGUGCUUACACAUGCAAGUCGAACGGUGAAGCAGGAGCUUGCUCUUGUGGAUCAGUGGCGAACGGGUGAGUAACACGUGAGCAACCUGCCCCUGACUCUGGGAUAAGCGCUGGAAACGGCGUCUAAUACUGGAUAUGUGACGUGACCGCAUGGUCUGCGUUUGGAAAGAUUCUUCGGUUGGGGAUGGGCUCGCGGCCUAUCAGCUUGUUGGUGAGGUAAUGGCUCACCAAGGCGUCGACGGGUAGCCGGCCUGAGAGGGUGACCGGCCACACUGGGACUGAGACACGGCCCAGACUCCUACGGGAGGCAGCAGUGGGGAAUAUUGCACAAUGGGCGAAAGCCUGAUGCAGCAACGCCGCGUGAGGGAUGACGGCCUUCGGGUUGUAAACCUCUUUUAGCAGGGAAGAAGCGAAAGUGACGGUACCUGCAGAAAAAGCGCCGGCUAACUACGUGCCAGCAGCCGCGGUAAUACGUAGGGCGCAAGCGUUAUCCGGAAUUAUUGGGCGUAAAGAGCUCGUAGGCGGUUUGUCGCGUCUGCUGUGAAAUCCCGAGGCUCAACCUCGGGCCUGCAGUGGGUACGGGCAGACUAGAGUGCGGUAGGGGAGAUUGGAAUUCCUGGUGUAGCGGUGGAAUGCGCAGAUAUCAGGAGGAACACCGAUGGCGAAGGCAGAUCUCUGGGCCGUAACUGACGCUGAGGAGCGAAAGGGUGGGGAGCAAACAGGCUUAGAUACCCUGGUAGUCCACCCCGUAAACGUUGGGAACUAGUUGUGGGGUCCAUUCCACGGA